rnacentral:lncRNA from 1 species
CGGCUCUAGCAAGAACAAAGGGAGAAAAGAAAGAACAAACCCUAGGUGGAGAAUUUCAAGAGCAAAAGUGUGGAAAAUCAAGGAAAACAAGUGAAAAAGGUAGGAUUUCUCAAUUUAAACUUGAAAUCUAUUUUCCUUAAGCAUUUCUCCUUAUUUUCCAUGGUUAAAUUUCAUGUUUUGAUGGUGAAUUCAAGGCUAGCCGAAUGGGUAUGGAGAGAGAAUGAUAUUAGAUUGAUUUGAUUUCAAGUUAUGUUAGUGUUUUUAGCUAGUUUACCAUGUCUAGAAGCAAAACAACAAGAAAAGAAUUCAUUUUCCCCAUCACCCAUCAAUGGCUGAACCUACCUUGUAUUGAGUGAGGAUGAAUUUGAUUUUUUAUUUUAAGAGAAUUGGUUAGAAAAUGAUGAAUUAUGGUGUGGAAAAGUAGUAGGAAAAAUCACGGUGUUAAUGCACCAUUAUUGAUCGAAAAUACUAAGAAGAAAAGUGAAGAUGGUUUUGCCAAAUUUUAGGUUAUUUGACUUGUGUUUGGUGAAUUAAGGUAUUGGAAAAGAAAUGGAGCAAUUUGGAGCUAAAUUGGACGCAUUGGCCAAUUAAUCGGGUGAUAAGACGAAUUAGGCCAAUACCGAGUUUAAAUGGUUACCCGUGCAUUUUGCAUUCCAUAUCAUGCAUUAGCAGUCUAAAUUAGUUUAAUUUCGAUUUAGUACCAAUGUAGUAAGUUUCUUGAUUUUGUACUAUGUCAAGGUGGUGAGUCCUCCGAUAAAGGGAAGAAAUUGCAUCCGAAGACCAGUAGUUAGAGUACUUCGAAAAUUCGCACUCUAGAUAUUAUGAGUAACCUUACUAUCGUCUUAAUUAUCUAGAGUGGUUUUUAUCCGAUUUUGUGAUUUUAUGGAAAAUGAGUUUAAUGGUAAAUUUUUAGAAUUUAGAAACAAAAUGUGUUUAAAUAAAAUGAUUUCAUAAAUGGCCUUGAAAUUGAAAGAUGACUUUGAAACUAGAGUAAUUAGAAACCAUUUGAUGUAUUUUGAAUUUAUGGUUCUAAUUGAUUGGCUUAUGACAAUAUUGUCAUGAAUGGUUGAAUUGGUAUUUGUGUUGAAAUGUAUAAACUAUUGUUUGCCUUGAUAGGCUGGAUAAUGAUAAAAUUGCCAUGUCAUUCUGUUGAAUUUUUAUUAUAUGGUGGGUUUAGCUUGCUACAGUGAGCUAGUUUUGUGGACUAGCCUAUUAGAGGGGUACGGAACCUGGUCAUAUUCUUACCUCGGUUGGAGAGGCGAGUAGGGUAACUUCCGAGGUAUAACUUUUAGAGUUCACUUCACGUCAAAUCACCACGUGAGGGGAAACUCAGCCAACGCCAAGGAACGACUAUGUUGUCAAAAUAAAAACAUGAUUUAUGCGUACAUAACUUUUUUAUAGCCUUGGCGGACUCGGUUGGAUAGUCCUCGAUCAAGGCAUCCUUGAUAACUGGGUAUAAAAAUGAUUUUGGCACGAGCCAAAGUUUUAAGAAAUUCAUAAGCCAUGUUGAUUACUCGAUUUAUAUGAAUUGAUUUUAUUUGGUUGAAACAAGUUGAAAGGUGAAGAAUUACAGUAUGUUAAACUAUUUUAUCUGUCUUCAUUUACCCAGUUUUAGAUAUUUUAGAUGGUAUUUGUUUACUCACUGGGAUUUUAUAAUUUCACCACCCUCAUUUCCACUUAUUUCAGGCUCAAGAUAGUCUAUAGAUAGCUGAUUUCAUCGAGGACCACCAUUGGAUUUGCAUUUUCCAAACUGUAGGUUCACAAUUUUUCUUACUUUUGGUUAUUCGAGGGCCCACUUGUUACUGUAAAUUAAAUUAAAUACUCUGGCUUACUGUAUUAUGAUAUAUAUGAAUUUAUUUUGCUUUUAUGAUGUAAAAAUUAUUUAUGCAGUGUUCUAAAAAUAUUAUUUUAUGAGAAAAUUGAAUAUUUUAUUCAAUAUUUUUAUUUUAUUCUAAUAGUCAUAAUUUCAUUUUAAACGAAU